rnacentral:rRNA from 1 species
CAGUUCGGAUUGAAGGCUGAAAUUCGCCUUCAUGAAGCUGGAAUUGCUAGUAAUGGCAGGUCAGCAUACUGCCGUGAAUACGUUCCCGGGCCUUGUACACACCGCCCGUCACACCAUGAGAGUUGGGAAUACCCGAAGCCUGUGAGCUAACUGUAAGGAGGCAGCAGUCGAAGGUAGAAUCAAUGAUUGGGGUGAAGUCGUAACAAGGUAUC